AGAGGAUAGAGUAGGGUCCGUGGCAAAAGACAGAAGAGGGACCUGAAGUUCAUUCAUAACAUGGGAAAUCACAUGUGCUAUUCCCGAGGAUUGUGGACCGAUUGCAGCAAUUACUUCUUUCUCCAUCAGCUGCAAAGCAUCAACAGUGCCGACAAAUCCACUGCAAUUUGUAUCCUGAAAAAUGAGGUUCAACUUGGUUCCUCUGAGAAUGCUAUAAUCUGAGUUAACAUCAUUUAUAGCAGCUACAAGAGCUGGCUCAGCUGACCUUCCAAUAACAGAAUUAGCAGUAAACAAAGCUCCAACAUUCACCACCUUAGGCCUAGAAAAGGAAGAUAAAGGAGCAGUUGCAUUUGUUGUGUUAUUCCCAGUCCCUCCAAGUACAGCCAAAGGCACCCAUAUCCAUGAAACCAACAACAGAAACACUCUCUUCCUCAAAUAAGCCUCCAUCCCAAAAACUGCCACAAAACCGUAGCUAGAACUCUAGCUCCGCCUCUAUCUCUUCAAAACAUCAAUU
rnacentral:misc_RNA from 1 species